rnacentral:rRNA from 1 species
UUGGGCCUACGGGAGGCAGCAGUCGGGAAUAUUGCGCAAUGGAGGAAACUCUGACGCAGUGACGCCGCGUAUAGGAAGAAGGUUUUCGGAUUGUAAACUAUUGUCGAUAGGGAAGAAGAAAGACGGUACCUGACUAAGAAGCCCCGGCUAACUACGUGCCAGCAGCCGCGGUAAUACGUAGGGGGCAAGCGUUAUCCGGAUUUACUGGGUGUAAAGGGAGCGUAGACGGCUGUGCAAGUCUGAAGUGAAAGCCCGUGGCUCAACCGCGGAACUGCUUUGGAAACUGUAUAGCUUGAGUACUGGAG